GUGGGGAAUCUUGCGCAAUGGGCGAAAGCCUGACGCAGCAACGCCGCGUGGGGGAUGAAGGCUCUCGGGUUGUAAACCCCUUUCAGCAGGGACGAAAUUGACGGUACCUGCAGAAGAAGCCCCGGCCAACUACGUGCCAGCAGCCGCGGUAAUACGUAGGGGGCGAGCGUUGUCCGGAUUUAUUGGGCGUAAAGAGCUCGUAGGCGGCUUGGCAAGUCGGGUGUGAAAACUCCAGGCUCAACCUGGAGACGCCACUCGAGACUGCUAUGGCUAGAGUCCGGUAGGGGACCACGGAAUUCCUGGUGUAGCGGUGAAAUGCGCAGAUAUCAGGAGGAACACCGGUGGCGAAGGCGGUGGUCUGGGCCGGCACUGACGCUGAGGAGCGAAAGCGUGGGGAGCAAACAGGAUUAGAAACCCCGGUAGUCC
rnacentral:rRNA from 1 species